rnacentral:rRNA from 1 species
CAGGCCUAACACAUGCAAGUCGAGCGGACUUAUCCUUCGGGAUAGGUUAGCGGCGGACGGGUGAGUAACACGUAGGCAACCUGCCUGUAAGAUCGGGAUAACUACCGGAAACGGUAGCUAAGACCGGAUAGCUGGUUUCUCCGCAUGGGGGAGUCAUGAAACACGGGGCAACCUGUGGCUUACGGAUGGGCCUGCGGCGCAUUAGCUAGUUGGUGGGGUAACGGCCCACCAAGGCGACGAUGCGUAGCCGACCUGAGAGGGUGAUCGGCCACACUGGGACUGAGACACGGCCCAGACUCCUACGGGAGGCAGCAGUAGGGAAUCUUCCGCAAUGGGCGCAAGCCUGACGGAGCAACGCCGCGUGAGUGAUGAAGGUUUUCGGAUCGUAAAGCUCUGUUGCCAAGGAAGAACGCCUCGGAGAGUAACUGCUCUGAGGGUGACGGUACUUGAGAAGAAAGCCCCGGCUAACUACGUGCCAGCAGCCGCGGUAAUACGUAGGGGGCAAGCGUUGUCCGGAAUUAUUGGGCGUAAAGCGCGCGCAGGCGGUCUUUUAAGUUUGGUGUUUAAGCCCGGGGCUCAACCCCGGUUCGCACUGAAAACUGGGAGACUUGAGUGCAGGAGAGGAAAGCGGAAUUCCACGUGUAGCGGUGAAAUGCGUAGAGAUGUGGAGGAACACCAGUGGCGAAGGCGGCUUUCUGGACUGUAACUGACGCUGAGGCGCGAAAGCGUGGGGAGCAAACAGGAUUAGAU